ACGUCCACAUCAUGUUGAAACAUUGGUUCCCGUUCGAUCACAGAAGUUGAGCAACCCGAGCCUGAUCAGUAACUAGAUGGGUGACCACUUGGGAAUACCAGGUGCUGUAAG